rnacentral:rRNA from 1 species
GAUGAACGCUGGCGGCGUGCCUAAUACAUGCAAGUCGAGCGAACAGACGAGGAGCUUGCUCCUCUGACGUUAGCGGCGGACGGGUGAGUAACACGUGGAUAACCUACCUAUAAGACUGGGAUAACUUCGGGAAACCGGAGCUAAUACCGGAUAAUAUAUUGAACCGCAUGGUUCAAUAGUGAAAGACGGUUUUGCUGUCACUUAUAGAUGGAUCCGCGCCGCAUUAGCUAGUUGGUAAGGUAACGGCUUACCAAGGCAACGAUGCGUAGCCGACCUGAGAGGGUGAUCGGCGACACUGGAACUGAGACACGGUCCAGACUCCUACGGGAGGCAGCAGUAGGGAAUCUUCCGCAAUGGGCGAAAGCCUGACGGAGCAACGCCGCGUGAGUGAUGAAGGUCUUCGGAUCGUAAAACUCUGUUAUUAGGGAAGAACAAAUGUGUAAGUAACUAUGCACGUCUUGACGGUACCUAAUCAGAAAGCAACGGCUAACUACGUG